CGAACGCUGGCGGCGUGCUUAACACAUGCAAGUCGAACGAGACGGAUUUAGAAGCUUGCUUUAUUGAGUCGAGUGGCAAACGGGUGAGUAACGCGUAGACAACCUGCCGCAAAGAUGGGGACAACAGUCCGAAAGGACUGCUAAUACCGAAUGUUGUAUCUCCACCGCAUGGAAGAGAUAUUAAAGAUGGCCUCUACUUGUAAGCUAUCGCUUUGCGAUGGGUCUGCGUCUGAUUAGCUAGUUGGCGGGGUAACGGCCCACCAAGGCGACGAUCAGUAGGGGUUCUGAGAGGAAGGUCCCCCACAUUGGAACUGAGACACGGUCCAAACUCCUACGGGAGGCAGCAGUGAGGAAUAUUGGUCAAUGGGCGAGAGCCUGAACCAGCCAAGUAGCGUGCAGGACGACGGCCCUAUGGGUUGUAAACUGCUUUUAUAAGGGAAUAAAGUGAGUCUCGUGAGACUUUUUGCAUGUACCUUAUGAAUAAGGACCGGCUAAUUCCGUG
rnacentral:rRNA from 1 species